rnacentral:lncRNA from 1 species
UGAAACCGUCGUUAUAGCUCAAAAAACUAUCGACAUAACCAACUAUAUAAUCCACUGUGUACGUAAAUUUUUUCCAUAUAUAUCACCCUUUCUCUAUGUACUCUUUCAUCAACCAAUACUACAAACUCUCUCUCUCUCAUAGUCUUACUCCCUCUCCUACCUGUCUCUCUCUUACAGUCGUACUCCCUCUCCUACCUCUCUCUCUCUUCUCUUAUUCAUGGAGUUAGUUUUGAAGUUAAUUUCAAGCUUUUGUGCAAUUGUUGUGGUGAUAUUAUUGGGAUGGAGAAUUUUCAAUUGGGUUUGGUUGAGACCAAGAAAGCUUGAAAAGUACCUCAGAAAUCAGGGUUUUAAUGGAAACUCGUACAGACUAUUUUUUGGAGACGUGAAAGAAAUGAUUGUGAUGCUAAAAGAAGCCAAAUCCAAACCCAUCAAUCUCUAUGAUGAUAUUAUCCCCCGCAUCAUUCCCCUCAACCAAAAAAUCAUCACAA